rnacentral:rRNA from 1 species
CCUACGGGCGGCAGCAGUGAGGAAUAUUGGUCAAUGGCCGCAGGGCUGAACCAACCAAGUCGCGUGAGGGAUGACGGUCCUAUGGAUUGUAAACCUCUUUUGUCAGGGAGCAAAGGGCGCCACGUGUGGCGUUUUGCGAGUACCUGAAGAAAAAGCAUCGGCUAACUCCGUGCCAGCAGCCGCGGUAAUACGGAGGAUGCGAGCGUUAUCCGGAUUUAUUGGGUUUAAAGGGUGCGCAGGCGGAAGAUCAAGUCAGCGGUAAAAUUGAGAGGCUCAACCUCUUCGAGCCGUUGAAACUGGUGUUCUUGAGUGAGUGAGAAGUAUGCGGAAUGCGUGGUGUAGCGGUGAAAUGCAUAGAUAUCACGCAGAACUCCGAUUGCGAAGGCAGCAUACCGGCGCUCAACUGACGCUCAUGCACGAAAGUGUGGGUAUCGAACAGGAUUAGAUACCCCUGUAGUC